rnacentral:rRNA from 1 species
ACUCAAAUGAAUUGACGGGGGCCCGCACAAGCAGCGGAGCGUGUGGUUUAAUUCGAGGCUACACGAAGAACCUUACCUAGGGUAGACAUGGUGGUGGUAGUGAACCGAAAGGGGAACGACUGGAAACAGAGCCACUACAGGUGCUGCAUGGUUGUCGUCAGCUCGUGCCGUGAGGUGUUCGGUUAAGUCCGAAAACGAGCGCAACCCUCGGGGUGCGUUACAGGUGUCGCACGCGACUGCCCGUGAGAAACGGGAGGAAGGUGAGGACGACGUCAAAUCAGCAUGGCCUAUAUCUCUAGGGCUACACACACGCUACAAUGGACGGUACAGUGCGUUGCGAAGUCGCGAGGCGGAGCCAAUCGAGAAAGCCGUUCGAAGUUCGGAUUGCAGGCUGCAACCCGCCUGCAUGAAGCUGGAGUUGCUAGUAACCGCGCGUCAGCCAUAGUGCGGUGAAUACGUUCCCGGGCCUUGUACACACCGCCCGU